rnacentral:snoRNA from 1 species
UUAACUUUUAUUUUCAAUCAAAAUUAUUGUAUGUAAAGAAAAAAGUUCUCGGGUAGGGUUCUGCCCAAUGAUGUACAGUCCCUUUCCACAACAUUGGAGAGAAAGCCGGGCCUUGAGUCUGAACCUGCAUAUUCCUACAACUUCUCAGAGUCCUGUGGACAAUGACUGAGGAGAUAAACCAUGCAGGAAACAUCU